AUGAAGCCGGAAUUGCUAGUAAUGGCAGGUCAGCAUACUGCCGUGAAUACGUUCCCGGGCCUUGUACACACCGCCCGUCACACCAUGAGAGUUGGGGAUACCCGAAGCCUGUGAGCUAACAUUAUGAGGCAGCAGUCGAAGGUAGAAUCAAUGAUUGGGGUGAAGUCGUAACAAGGUAAC
rnacentral:rRNA from 1 species